CCCUUAGAUGUUCUGGGCAGCACGCGCGCUACAAUGGUCUUCGCAAACGGAUGCAUUCUCGAAGGAGAAUGCCAAUCUUGGAAUCUAUGCCUUGGUCGGGACAGUUGCUUGCAAUUUUUCGACUCGAACCAGGAAUUCCUUGUAAUCGUGAUUCAUCACAUCACGAUGAAUACGUCCCUGCCCUUUGUACACACCGCCCGUCGCUCAUACCGAUCGAAGAGUUAGGUGAAUUGUUUUGAUCGAUAAGAUUUGACUAUGGUCAACUCUCGUUGUGAAAUUCUGUGAAUCUGACUGUUUAGAGGAAGGAAAAGUCGUAACA
rnacentral:rRNA from 1 species